UUGCUCUUCAACGAGGAAUCCCUAGUAAGCGCAAGUCAUCAGCUUGCGUUGAUUACGUCCCUGCCCUUUGUACACACCGCCCGUCGCUACUACCGAUUGAAUGGCUCAGUGAGGCUUCCGGACUGGCCCAGGGAGGUCGGCAACGACCACCCAGGGCCGGAAAGCUAUCCAAACUCGGUCAUUUAGAGGAAGUAAAAGUCGUAACAAGGUCUCCGUUGGUGAACCAGCGGAGGGAUCAUUACAGAGUUGCAAAACUCCAACAAACCAUCGCGAAUCUUACCCGUACGGUUGCCUCGGCGCUGGCGGUCCGGAAGGCCCUCGGGCCCCCCGGAUCCUCGGGUCUCCCGCUCGCGGGAGGCUGCCCGCCGGAGUGCCGAAACCAAACUCUUGAUAUUUUAUGUCUCUCUGAGUAAACUUUUAAAUAAGUCAAAACUUUCAACAACGGAUCUCUUGGUUCUGGCAUCGAUGAAGAACGCAGCGAAAUGCGAUAAGUAAUGUGAAUUGCAGAAUUCAGUGAAUCAUCGAAUCUUUGAACGCACAUUGCGCUCGCCAGUAUUCUGGCGAGCAUGCCUGUUCGAGCGUCAUUUCAACCAUCAAGCUCUGCUUGCGUUGGGGAUCCGCGUCUGACGCGGUCCCUCAAAAACAGUGGCGGGCUCGCUAGUCACACCGAGCGUAGUAACUCUACAUCGCUAUGGUCGUGCGGCGGGUUCUUGCCGUAAAACCCCCAAUUUCUAAGGUUGACCUCGGAUCAGGUAGGAAUACCCGCNGAACUUAAGCAUAUCAAUAAGCGGAGGA
rnacentral:rRNA from 1 species